CAGAUGGCGGAAUUGGUAGACGCGCUGGACUCAAAAUCCUGUGGCAGCAAUGCCGUGCGGGUUCGAUUCCCGCUCCGG
rnacentral:tRNA from 1 species